AUUGAACGCUGGCGGCAUGCUUUACACAUGCAAGUCGAACGGAUUGAAGGGGCUUGCUCCUUCAGUUAGUGGCGAACGGGUGAGUAAUGCAUCGGAACGUACCGUGUAGUGGGGGAUAACCUGGCGAAAGUCAGAUUAAUACCGCAUACGAUCUACGGAUGAAAGCGGGGGACCUUCGGGCCUUGCGCUAUACGAGCGGCCGAUGUCGGAUUAGCUAGUUGGUGAGGUAAAGGCUCACCAAGGCGACGAUCCGUAGCGGGUCUGAGAGGAUGAUCGGCCAAACUGGGACUGAGACACGGCCCAGACUCCUACGGGAGGCAGCAGUGGGGAAUUUUGGACAAUGGACGAAAGUCUGAUCCAGCCAUGCCGCGUGAGUGAAGAAGGCCUUCGGGUUGUAAAGCUCUUUUGUCAGGGAGCAAAUCCUGCCUGCUAACACUAGGUGGGGAUGAGAGUACCUGAAGAAUAAGCACCGGCUAACUACGUGCCAGCAGCCGCCGUAAAAC
rnacentral:rRNA from 1 species